rnacentral:piRNA from 1 species
UGAAUUUGGUGGCCUCAGAGUCUUCUC